AUUCAGCUAACGAGUCACAAAUAAGACGAAAUGCACAUCCUGUAU
rfam:Schistosoma curassoni strain Dakar, Senegal genome assembly, scaffold: SCTD_scaffold0002840